rnacentral:rRNA from 1 species
UACAGAGGUCUCAAGCGUUGUUCGGAUUCAUUGGGCGUAAAGGGUGCGUAGGCGGCGCGGUAAGUCGGGUGUGAAAUCUUGGAGCUUAACUCCGAAACUGCAUUCGAUACUGCCGUGCUUGAGGACUGGAGAGGAGACUGGAAUUUACGGUGUAGCGGUGAAAUGCGUAGAUAUCGUAAGGGAGACCAGUGGCGAAGGCGGGUCUCUGGACAGUUCCUGACGCUGAGGCACGAAGGCCGGGGGAGCAAACGGG